AUUGAACGCUGGCGGCAUGCUUUACACAUGCAAGUCGAACGGUAACAGGCCGCAAGGUGCUGACGAGUGGCGAACGGGUGAGUAAUGCAUCGGAACGUGCCCAGUCGUGGGGGAUAACGCAGCGAAAGCUGCGCUAAUACCGCAUACGAUCUAUGGAUGAAAGCGGGGGACCGUAAGGCCUCGCGCGAUUGGAGCGGCCGAUGUCAGAUUAGGUAGUUGGUGGGGUAAAGGCUCACCAAGCCAACGAUCUGUAGGUGGUCUGAGAGGGCGACCAGCCACACUGGGACUGAGACACGGCCCAGACUCCUACGGGAGGCAGCAGUGGGGAAUUUUGGACAAUGGGCGCAAGCCUGAUCCAGCAAUGCCGCGUGCAGGAAGAAGGCCUUCGGGUUGUAAACUGCUUUUGUACGGAACGAAACGGUCCUGGUUAAUACCUGGGGCUAAUGACGGUACCGUAAGAAUAAGCACCGGCUAACUACGUGCCAGCCGCCGCGGUAACAC
rnacentral:rRNA from 1 species